ensembl:lncRNA
AGGGUUAUAAAUUAAGAUAGAGGGGUAUAAAUGAAGAUAGAGGGGGUAUGAAUGAAGAUAGAGGGGUAUAAAUGAAGAUAGAGGGGUAUGAAUGAAGAUAGAGGGAGUAGGAAUGAAGAUAGAGGGGUAUGAAUUAAGAUAGAGGGGUAUAAAUGAAGAUAGAGGGGUAUAAAUGAAGAUAGAGGGUAUGAAUUAAGAUAGAGGGGUAUAAAUGAAGAUAGAGGGAGUAGGAAUGAAGAUAGAAGGGUAUAAAUGAAGAUAGAGGGGUAUAAAUGAAGAUAGAGGGUAUGAAUUAAGAUAGAGGGGUAUAAAUGAAGCUAGAGGGAGUAGGAAUGAAGAUAGAAGGGUAUAAAUGAAAAUAGAGGGAGUAGGAAUGAAGAUAGAGGGGUAUAAAUGAAGAUAGUGGGGUAUAAAUGAAGAUAGAA